UACGAGAGGCCCAAACGUUAUUCGGAAUUACUGGGCUUAAAGAGUCCGUAGGCGGCGCGGAAAGUGGGGUGUGAAAGCCCUCUGCUUAACCGAGGAAUUGCGCUCCAAACUGCCGUGCUCGAGGAACCUAGAGGUGAGCAGAACUGAUGGUGGAGCGGUGAAAUGCGUUGAUAUCAUCAGGAAUACCGGAGGCGAAGGCGGCUCACUGGGGGUUUUCUGACGCUGAGGGACGAAAGCCAGGGUAGCGAACGGG
rnacentral:rRNA from 1 species